rnacentral:rRNA from 1 species
UACGUAGGGUGCGAGCGUUGUCCGGAAUUAUUGGGCGUAAAGGGCUCGUAGGCGGUUUGUCGCGUCGGGAGUGAAAACCAGGUGCUUAACACCUGGCCUGCUUUCGAUACGGGCAGACUGGAGUACUGCAGGGGGAGACUGGAAUUCCUGGUGUAGCGGUGGAAUGCGCAGAUAUCAGGAGGAACACCGGUGGCGAAGGCGGGUCUCUGGGCAGUAACUGACGCUGAGGAGCGAAAGCGUGGGGAGCGAACAGG